CAGCGCCACGAGUGGCGAUCAUAUUUAUUGGGCCUAAAGCGUCCGUAGCCUGUCUGACCCGUCUUUUGUGAAAUCGUUGUGCUUAACAUAACGGUGUGCAAGAGAUACAGUUAGACUUGGAACCGGAGAGGAGUCGGAGGUAUUCCAGGGGGAGCGGUAAAAUGCUAUAAUCCCUGGAGGACCGCCUGUGGCGAAAGCGUCCGACUAGAACGGCUUCGACGGUGAGGGACGAAAGCCAGGGGAGCAAACCGGAUUAGAUACCCGAGUAGUCC
rnacentral:rRNA from 1 species